rnacentral:rRNA from 1 species
UACAGAGGAUGCAAGCGUUAUCCGGAAUGAUUGGGCGUAAAGCGUCUGUAGGUGGCUUUUUAAGUCCGCCGUCAAAUCCCAGGGCUCAACUCUGGACAGGCGGUGGAAACUACCAAGCUGGAGUACGGCAGGGGCAGAGGGAAUUUCCAGUGGAGCGGUGAAAUGCGUAGAGAUCGGAAAGAACACCAACGGCGAAAGCACUCUACUGGGCCGACACUGACACUAAGAGACGAAAGCUAGGGGAGCGAAUGGG